GGCCCACCACGCCGCACGCCGCGCACUGCGCGCCGCAGGACGCCUCCACCACCGACACCGGGGACUUCAGAAUCCGUGGCUUGUUGCCUGGUUGCGUGUACGUACUAGAAUUAAAGGCGGGUGACCCCGCGACGGCUGGCAGCGUUCUAGCCAAGCAACCGCCACCUUUCGAAGUGAAAGAAAAGGAUAUAGAAAACGU